UUUAACGGUUCGUGGUGAACCAGCGGAGGGAUCAUUACAGAGUUGCAAAACUCCCUAAACCAUCGUGAACGUUACCCCACAAUCGUUGCUUCGGCGGGCGGCGCCUCACCCGGCGCCCCCUGCCAGGGGCCCUAACGGGCGUCCGCCGGAGGCCUAUAACCCUUGUAUUAUUUUACGGCUUCUCUGAGUUUAUACUUAAAUAAGUCAAAACUUUCAACAACGGAUCUCUUGGUUCUGGCAUCGAUGAAGAACGCAGCGAAAUGCGAUAAGUAAUGUGAAUUGCAGAAUUCAGUGAAUCAUCGAAUCUUUGAACGCACAUUGCGCCCCCCAGUAUUCUGGAGGGCAUGCCUGUUCGAGCGUCAUUUCAACCAUCAAGCCCCGGGCUUGUGUUGGGGACCUGCGGCUGCCGCAGGCCCCGAAAAGCAGUGGCGGGCUCGCUGUCACACCGAGCGUAGUAGCAAUCACCUCGCUCAGGGCGUGCUGCGGGUGCCGGCCGUUAAACCCCCUUAACUUCUAAGGUUGACCUCGGAUCAGGUAGGAGUACCCGCUGAACUUAAGCAUAUCAUAGGCCGGAGGAAA
rnacentral:rRNA from 1 species